GGCGAACGGGUGAGUAAUGCAUCGGAACGUGCCCAGUCGUGGGGGAUAACUGCUCGAAAGAGCAGCUAAUACCGCAUACGACCUGAGGGUGAAAGCGGGGGACCGUAAGGCCUCGCGCGAUUGGAGCGGCCGAUGUCAGAUUAGCUAGUUGGUGGGGUAAAGGCCUACCAAGGCAACGAUCUGUAGUUGGUCUGAGAGGACGACCAGCCACACUGGGACUGAGACACGGCCCAGACUCCUACGGGAGGCAGCAGUGGGGAAUUUUGGACAAUGGGCGCAAGCCUGAUCCAGCAAUGCCGCGUGCAGGAAGAAGGCCUUCGGGUUGUAAACUGCUUUUGUCAGGGAAGAAAUCUUCUGGGCUAAUACCCCGGGAGGAUGACGGUACCUGAAGAAUAAGCACCGGCUAACUACGUGCCAGCAGCCGCGGUAAUACGUAGGGUGCAAGCGUUAAUCGGAAUUACUGGGCGUAAAGCGUGCGCAGGCGGUUAUGCAAGACAGA
rnacentral:rRNA from 1 species